AUGCACUUGAAUCAAGAACGAAUAAUAAACUUCGUUCAACUCUGCUCUCUGAUACGAGCAUGGCAUAAGCUCAGAGCUUCACUCUCAACUCUCGCCAACACUUCCAAUCUUCAUAGUCUGCUCCACCUUCCUCAUCAUCAAUAUUCCUUCUUCAAUUCAUUUCCAAAUCUCCUGCUUCAACAACAACAACACCGAAUCACAGUCUCAUUUUUGCGGAAUCGUAACAACAAUAGCAGAAGAAGAAAAUUGAAUAGGAUGGAGAAGGAGAAUGAGUUCAAAGGCAAAGAGGAGUGUUCGUACCUAAGAAUUCAAGACUCACUAUAUUUCUACUGGUGUUGUCAUUAUUGA